UCGCUUUCAUUAUGAAUUCUGAAAAUAUCAUUUGAAAGUGAUCUUACAACAGUAACCAUGAAAACGAAUGGAUUCCAAUGCUUUGAUUUCGACAAGGAGAGUGGCGUGUCAUAUGUCGUCACAUCGCAACACAGAAAAAGUCAAGUCACGGGCAUACGCUUUCAGCCGCCUGCACCCAAAAUAGUCCACGCGGAAUCCCGGGUGGACUUCCAGUGCAGCCACGACGACGACAACUAUGACGUCAUGCUGUGGUACCGCCAGAGCAAAGGCCGCCGGCGGCCCAUCGAGCUGGUCGGGUUCAGCCACGUGGGCAACGAGCCCGUCUACAAGGGGAACGGCACUGGCCUGGAAAUAAGACGUGAGGACACGCAGAGAGGCUCUCUCGGCAUUCGCUCUGUCAGAGUGUCAGACACAGAACCAGGUCGCUACCCCAAGCUGCCCACAGUCACCUUGCUCCCGCCUUCGCCCAAGGAGUGUCACAACCAGCAAAGGUGGAAGAAAACGCUAGUGUGCGCCGCCACGGGCUUCUUCCCGGACCACGCGGCCGUGUCCUGGCAGGUCGACGGGCAGGAUGUCACCGCGGGCGUGGCCACGGACGCCAGCGCCCUGCCGGACGGCGGCUUCUACAAGAUGAGCAGCAGGUUGCGCGUGGCGUCAGAUUUGUGGUUGACGCCCGGCAGAGCCUUCACCUGCACGGUCAGCUUCUUUGACGGCAAGGAGACCACGCUGCACUCAAAAACGGUCUACGGCAUCCAAGGUGAAAAAGUGACAAGAGUGAGUUAUUUGAGGGUGGGGCAGAGUGCCAAGCUGUCCUACGCCGUCCUCCUGGUCAAGAGCAGCGUCUAUGCGGCUUUUGUCGGCUUCUUGCUGUGGAAACGUCGGGGUCUGUCCACAAAGCUGAGCCCUUCAUAGUUAGUUGACUUGGGGCUACCUUAAAGGAGCUUGCUGCCAAUAAAGCUUGAAAAAAAAAACA